rnacentral:rRNA from 1 species
AGUGAACGCUGGCGGUAGGCCUAACACAUGCAAGUCGAACGGCAGCACAGUAAGAGCUUGCUCUUACGGGUGGCGAGUGGCGGACGGGUGAGGAAUACAUCGGAAUCUACUUUUUCGUGGGGGAUAACGUAGGGAAACUUACGCUAAUACCGCAUACGACCUACGGGUGAAAGCAGGGGAUCUUCGGACCUUGCGCGAUUGAAUGAGCCGAUGUCGGAUUAGCUAGUUGGCGGGGUAAAGGCCCACCAAGGCGACGAUCCGUAGCUGGUCUGAGAGCAUGAUCAGCCACACUGGAACUGAGACAUGGUCCAGACUCCUACGGGAGGCAGCAGUGGGGAAUAUUGGACAAUGGGCGCAAGCCUGAUCCAGCCAUACCGCGUGGGUGAAGAAGGCCUUCGGGUUGUAAAGCCCUUUUGUUGGGAAAGAAAAGCAGCAGGUUAAUACCCCGCUGUUCUGACGGUACCCAAAGAAUAAGCACCGGCUAACUUCGUG